rnacentral:lncRNA from 1 species
AAGCGCCGCGCGCAGCCCUGGUUCCCGCCCAUGCCUCUCCCUCCACACCACCCCGCAAGCUGAGGGAGCGGGUUGCGGCCUUGGCCAGUCCAGAAAGGGGCUCCCACAGUGCAGCGGUGGGCUGAAGGGCUCCUCAAGUGCAGCUGGAGUGGGCACCAGGGCCGAGGAGGUGCUCAGAGCGAGUGAGGGCUGCGAGGGCUGCCAGCAUUCUGUCACCUCUCAUCAUGAGAUCGGAUGGAUUUAUCAGGUGUUUCCAGUUUUGCUUCUUCGUCAUUUUCUGUCUUGUCGCCACCAGAUAAGAAGUGACUUUCGCCCUCUGCCAUGAUUGUGAGACCUCCUCAGCCACGUGGAACUUCUUUGAGUAUGCUCAGCGCGUGCCAUCAUGGGGCCAUGUUCUUCCCCUUUGCUCUUGGAGAAUAGACAAAGCUACCCAGCCCAGCCACAGCCUCAUAAUCUUGUUCUACCUCCCUCUCCAGCCUCAACUAUUUCCAGGCUCCAGCUCAAGUCAUACAUCAGGAUGGCUUUUCUAUGCAGAUAACUUGACACACAGAGCCCAACUUUGGUCCUGAAUUCUGAGAACCACAGUUCAGAAUAGACGCUAAAACGUCUCAAUGUUAGCAGCCUUCCCCUAUGACUUUAUGAAGUGCAGCCCUACAGGAGAACUCAGGAAGCCACAUCUUCCAUCUGUCACCUUCUGACUGUUGAUCCUGUGAGUUCACAGGCCAGGGGGAUGCUGG